rnacentral:rRNA from 2 species
AUCAGGUUGAUAGGUCUGAGGUGGAAGUGUGGCGACACAUGGAGCUGACAGAUACUAAUCGAUCGAGGACUUAACCACAUUU